GCGCCGCUAGCUCAAUUGGCAGAGCAGCGGACUCUUAAUCCGCGGGUUCGGGGUUCAAGUCCCUGGYGGCGCA
rfam:Frankia asymbiotica strain NRRL B-16386 contig_63, whole genome shotgun sequence.